GAUGUUGAGUCUAAAACUGGAUUUAUUUUGACAACACUUUGUAGAUAUUUCUUCUGAGCAUGUAUUAUUGGCAAUCUCCCUCUCCUCUAGCUGACACACAACAUUUUAAAUGCUGAAGUAGAUUUUAAAGACAUUUCAAGGAAGAACAGGCUAUCUUCUGAAGUUACUAUAACAAUACCCAUAAGCCUCUUGAGCCAGCAAUGUUCUCUUAUCUGAGGAAAUUGCUUUACUGAGCCAUGUGCAAAUUCUCAACAGACAGUUUGAUCAAUAUAUUUUAUGGGAAAAAUUCCACUUUUGAAUAAUGAAUUCUUUUCCUCAUAGGUAUAUAAUUUGCAACCAAAGUUCAGACCAUGCUUAGAGUUAUACAGUUGCUAUGAAUCAAUUAAAGCAGCAGAGAUGAAAAGUGGAAAGAAAAAAACAGAAAAUUCUCCAUGUCCUACAAGAUGUGUCAAGUUAAAUGGGCAAAUCUUAAAGCAAGAGAGAUGCAGAAAAAGAGAGGCACUUGAAGUUUGUCCAUUGCCUACCAAAAGACUAAGUUCUGCAUGUGUCUUCUUCCAGUAAAACAUAGUAUAAUAUCAAUGAAUUUGUGUUCCAGUUUAUGUUCUAGGAUUAAUGCCACCUCAAGGAUUCGACUAGUUCUAAGUAAACUGAUUGGGGUUAAACAAAUACUCAGUUCUAAUUAAUGAUUCUUAAGGUUUUAUGUGUGGCAGAGAUGCGGCCCAGCCCAAGAUAAUCCACAGGAUCAGAGUGGCUUCUAGUAAAAGGCAAUAUUGUCAUUACUAUGCAGUUUUCUCCAGCAAGUAAUGAAUUGCUUAGAUCCAGUAAGACACACGCAGCAUGGGGAAGGAGCAUUGGCUUGGAGGCAGAGAAUUCGUGUGUGUUAUGUGUCUUUGGACAAUAGUUAAGGCAUCAGUUCCCUCUUCUGUAAAAUGAGCAUAAUAAUACUUGCAGGGUUAUUGUGAAGACUAAAUGAUUUAAUCACAAAAAAUGUGCCAACUUUAGGGUCAGGCAUAUAUUUAGAACUCAAUAAAUUUUAGUUAUUUUGUCUAUUUCUCUCUGAA
rnacentral:lncRNA from 1 species